rnacentral:rRNA from 1 species
AGAGAGUGCAAGCGUUAAUCGGAAUUACUGGGCGUAAAGCGCGCGUAGGUGGAUAUUUAAGUCGGAUGUGAAAGCCCUGGGCUCAACCUAGGAACUGCAUCCGAUACUGGGUAUCUUGAGUAUGGUAGAGGGAAGUGGAAUUUCCGGUGUAGCGGUGAAAUGCGUAGAUAUCGGAAGGAACACCAGUGGCGAAGGCGACUUCCUGGACCAAUACUGACACUGAGGCGCGAAAGCGUGGGGGAGCAAACAGGAUUAGAGACCCUGGUAGUCCACGCCGUCAACGAUGAGAACUAGACGUUGGAAGGGUAACCUUUUAGUGUCGAAGCUAACGCGUUAAGUUCUCCGCCUGGGGAGUACGGCCGCAAGGCUA